GAAAAGAAAAGAAAAAAAGAGAGAGAAUGGAGAAAGGAGAAGAAGUUAGGGUUUGGGAGAGAGGAAGAACAGAGAUGACAAAUCGCCAUUGGAGAUCGAAUCCAAGGCAAGAGACUUCGAAGCAAUACUUCUCUCAGUGCUGGAAAAGGAGUUCGGGUGGUGGAAUCCACUCAUUCCGGCAAGAAAAUUCGAGAACGGACAAAGUUUCUUGAAGUUCCUGGACGGGAAUCGGACGAAAAUCGGAGUUUAGUCGAACUUGGGUAAACCGAUCGAAAACAGAAAAUGAGAGAGAAGGCAUCGCCGCCACGCGUCGGCCGCCGUACGGAGGAGCGCGGUAGGACCGACGACCGACACGUGGCGACCGCGGGCUGGAGAAACGCAUCAGGCGUGCGCAACCGGGUCGGCCCGAGUUUGAACCGGCGCUCCGCACGCGAACCGAACCGCCUGAGACCGCUCCGACCUGUCCGAACCGACCCGUCUCGACCCGCGACUGCACAGAAAGAAGCGCAUGGGUACGCGCGCGUAGAAUCCGCGCGUAGUACACCCUCUAGAGCGCGUCAGUCGUGCGUGUAGGCGCGUGAGUGACUGUUUUCCCUCCGUUCGACCUUCGUUUGCUUGUUUUUUCGCCCCGAUUUCAACUCUGAUCCUAUUUUUAUGUGAAUUAGGACCUAUCAAGGAAAUUCCAGAAUUUUUGGAACCUUUUCCGGCAAAUAAUUCGAGCUUGAGAAGGCACGCGUCAACCAAGUAAGUAGCCAUUUGGAUUUCCACGAGCAAUACUUGUAGGAACUGCUAGGAACAAGCAUGCAUGCUACCACCUAUGAAAGUAGCUAGCUCGACUUAUCAUGUUAUUAUAGAAACUGCGAAUAUAAGAUGAUUAUGGAAAGCUAGAUACAAAAUGUAUAUUAAAUCUGUUUUGGUUGAGACUCUGAUAAUGUAUGUAUGCAUGAGAAGGUUGGAAAACUUGUGAAAUCUGCGCUCCGGGUAAAGAUGGACGUUAUCUUCCCGUUGAGCAUGUUUGAUAAUUUUGCAUGAGCUGCUGCGUGUAAACUCUAUUGUAUGAUGAUUGCUUGUAUUAUCUUUCUUGAUGAAUAGGAAGAAAUUAUGAGCUUAGAUUAGGAUGCUUAUGGCUAAAUAAGCUAGACGAGACCCUAGAUUGGGGGACCUCUAGAAUACCGUGCAAUUAGACCCGCGAAAUGAUUACCGGCGGAACCAGAACCCAGAAUUCCAAACCCGAUAGGUUUGUGACACCAGACACGAGAAUCCUAGAGAAAUACGAAUCUAAGUCUAAGCCAUCAAGCUCCACCCUAGAAAGAAUAAUAGGUCACCAAGGUAACUGUAGGUAGCCCGCUAGAGUUGAGCAGUGUAGAUAGUGUCAUCAGAACCUCCACUUCCCUCUCUCCUCCGAUACCAUACCGUCGAGACAGAGCUCCGGUACGGUGAUCGUUGAGCUUUGCAGAUCCGGAUAGGGAAGUGUGACAGGUGCCCAGGCCUAGUGGUGAUAGCUAAGGGGUCUUCUGAACAGGACUCCUGGGUCGUAGAAACCCGUCCCUGAGCGAGGGACGUGGAGCCACUUAGGAUGUCUCAGUAGCUGACCGGCACACAGGGGGUCGCACCCCGUUUUGUGGAUGUAUGGUCCCGUGUGAGGGUCGUCAGUUAACCUCCACGGAUGAUGUUCAGAGAGAGAGUCACGUAUUCAGAUCCAGCCAUACGAUCCCCUCAGAUUUGCUUAUGAGGUCGCGCCUCACCUCAGGACACUGAUCAUUUCAC